GGGCGUGUGGCGUAGUCGGUAGCGCGCUCCCUUAGCAUGGGAGAGGUCUCCGGUUCGAUUCCGGACUCGUCCA
rnacentral:ncRNA from 13 species